rnacentral:rRNA from 1 species
AUUGAACGCUGGCGGCAGGCCUAACACAUGCAAGUCGAGCGGAUGAAGGGAGCUUGCUCCUGGAUUCAGCGGCGGACGGGUGAGUAAUGCCUAGGAAUCUGCCUGGUAGUGGGGGAUAACGUCCGGAAACGGGCGCUAAUACCGCAUACGUCCUGAGGGAGAAAGUGGGGGAUCUUCGGACCUCACGCUAUCAGAUGAGCCUAGGUCGGAUUAGCUAGUUGGUGGGGUAAAGGCCUACCAAGGCGACGAUCCGUAACUGGUCUGAGAGGAUGAUCAGUCAAACUGGAACUGAGACACGGUCCAGCCUCCUACGGGAGGCAGCAGUGGGGAAUAUUGGACAAUGGGCGAAAGCCUGAUCCAGCCAUGCCGCGUGUGUGAAGAAGGUCUUCGGAUUGUAAAGCACUUUAAGUUGGGAGGAAGGGCAGUAAGUUAAUACCUUGCUGUUUUGACGUUACCAACAGAAUAAGCACCGGCUAACUUCGUG